UGUAAGCGUAUACCAAAGUUGUUGCAGUUAAAACGCUCGUAGUCGGACUUUGGCAGUUCCGGAUGUGUGCACGUCGUGUGCGCACUUCGCGGGGAUUGCUUUUGUGGUCUUGCGUAGGAUGAGGCACUUUUAUUAGUGAACGUCCUCACGCAACCACUUUUUACUGUGAGAAAAUCAGGGUGCUCAAAGCAGGCAUUUGCCGUGAAUGUAUUAGCAUGGAAUAAUAGAAUAGGACUUGGUUCUAUUUUGUUGGUUUGUUGGGACUGAGUAAUGAUUAAGAGGGACAGUUGGGGGCAUUUGUAUUUCGGUGCUAGAGGUGAAAUUCUUAGAUUACCGAAAGACAAACUGCUGCGAAAGCGUCUGCCAAGGAUGUUUUCAUUGA
rnacentral:rRNA from 1 species